rnacentral:rRNA from 1 species
AUGAAAGACCUUGGUGUGGCUGAUGUUAUCUUGAACAUCAAGCUACUGAGAGAUAAUGAGGGUGGGAUCACACUUCUGCAAUCCCAUUACGUUGAGAAGGUGUUGAGUCGUUUUGGAUAUUCGGACUGCACACCAUCUCAAACACCAUAUGAUCCUAGCGUAUUGAUUCGAAAGUCCAAAGGCAUGGCUAAAGAUCAAUUGAGAUACUCUCAAAUCAUUGGUUCACUGAUGUACCUAGCGAGCGCAACGAGGCCUGACAUCGCGUUUGCUGUGAGCAAACUGAGCCGGUUUGUUUCCAAACCGGGUGAUGUACAUUGGCAUGCCGUUGAGAGAGUUAUGCGCUAUCUGAAAGGUACUAUGAACUAUGGACUUCACUAUACCGGAUACCCGUCGGUACUUGAAGGGUAUAGUGAUGCGAAUUGGAUCUCUGAUGCUGAUGAGAUGAAGGCCACAACUGGGUAUAUGUUUACUCUUGGAGGUGGCGCUGUUUCCUGGAAGUCUUGCAAGCAAACGAUCUUAACGAGAUCGACAAUGGAAGCAGAAUUAACGGCAUUAGACACAUCUGGUGUUGAAGCGAGAUGGCUUCGAGAUCUUUUGAUGGACUUGCCAUUGGUUGAUAAACCGGUUCCGGCUAUCCUUAUGAACUGUGACAAUCAAACUGUCAUCACCAAGGUGAAGAGUUCAAAGGACAACAUGAAGUCCACCAAACACAUAAGAAUGAGAUUAAACGCUGUUAGAAAAUUAAGAAACUCCGGAGUGAUAGCGUUGGACUAUGUCCAUACGGCUAAGAAUCUGGCAGAUCCCUUUACAAAAGGGCUAUCACGUGUUGUGAUAGAUAAUGCAUCGAGGGAGAUGGGUAUGAGACCCACAUGA